rnacentral:sRNA from 1 species
UCAAUCGUGCAUAUGUGACCCGGAAGC